CUAUCUUCCUUUCAUUGUUACUCCCUCUUUCCUAUUUUACCUGUCUUACUUUUCUUUUUAGUUUGUCCCAAAAUAGUGUCCUCUUUCCAAAA